GAUGAAGAACGUAGCGAAAUGCGAUAAGUAAUGUGAAUUGCAGAAUUCAGUGAAUCAUCGAAUCUUUGAACGCACAUUGCGCCCGCCAGCACUCUGGCGGGCAUGCCUGUCCGAGCGUCAUUUCAACCCUCGCGCCGUCCCUCCAGGGGGCUCGGCGCGGUGUUGGGGGACACGGCCCCGGCCGCCCCCGAAAUGCAGUGGCGACCCCGCCGCGGCCCCUCCAGCGCAGUAAGCACGCUCGCUACGGGAGGCCCGGUGGACGCGUCCGCCGUAAAACGCCCAACUCUUCAGAAGUUGACCUCGGAUCAGGUAGGGAUACCCGCUGAACUUAAGCAUAUCAUAAGCGGAGGA
rnacentral:misc_RNA from 1 species